UACGUAGGGGGCAAGCGUUGUCCGGAAUUAUUGGGCGUAAAGAGCGUGUAGGCGGUCCGGUAAGUCGGCUGUGAAAGUCCAGGGCUCAACCCUGGGAUGCCGGUCGAUACUGCCGGACUAGAGUUCGGAAGAGGAGAGUGGAAUUCCCGGUGUAGCGGUGAAAUGCGCAGAUAUCGGGAGGAACACCUAUGGCGAAGGCAGCUCGCUGGGACGUUACUGACGCUGAGACGCGAAAGCGUGGGGAGCAAACAGG
rnacentral:rRNA from 1 species